CCUACGGGCGGCAGCAGUGAGGAAUAUUGGUCAAUGGCCGAGAGGCUGAACCAGCCAAGUCGCGUGAGGGAAGACGGCCCUACGGGUUGUAAACCUCUUUUGUCGGGGAGCAAAGAGAGUCACGUGUGACUCAUUGAGAGUACCCGAAGAAAAAGCAUCGGCUAACUCCGUGCCAGCAGCCGCGGUAAUACGGAGGAUGCGAGCGUUAUCCGGAUUUAUUGGGUUUAAAGGGUGCGCAGGCGGAGGUGCAAGUCAGCGGUCAAAUGGCGGGGCUCAACCCCGUACCGCCGUUGAAACUGCAACCCUUGAGUGGGCGAGAAGUAUGCGGAAGGCGUGGUGUAGCGGUGAAAUGCAUAGAUAUCGCGCAGAACUCCGAUUGCGAAGGCAGCAUACCGGCGCGAAACUGACGCUGAGGCACGAAAGCGUGGGUAUCGAACAGGAUUAGAUACCCCUGUAGUC
rnacentral:rRNA from 1 species